rnacentral:rRNA from 1 species
GACGAACGCUGGCGGCGUGCUUAACACAUGCAAGUCGAACGGUAAGGCCUUCCGGGUACACCAGUGGGCAACCGGUGGGUUACCCCUGGGUCGUCUGCCCUGCACUUCGGGGUAAGGCCGGGAAACUGGGGUUAAUACCGCAUACGACCACCUCCCGCCUGGGUUGUGGUGGAAAGCCUUUGCGGGGUGGGAGGGGCCCCCGGCCUAUCAGCUUGUUGGUGGGGUGAUGGCCUACCAAGGCGACGACGGGUAGCCGGCCUGAGAGGGUGACCGGCCACACUGGGACUGAGAUACGGCCCAGACUCCUACGGGAGGCAGCAGUGGGGAAUAUUGCACAAUGGGCGCAAGCCUGAUGCAGCGACGCCGCGUGAGGGAUGACGGCCUUCGGGUUGUAAACCUCUUUCAGCACCGACGAAGCGCAAGUGACGGUAGGUGCAGAAGAAGGACCGGCCAACUACGUGCCAGCCGCCGCGGUAA